GCGGGCUUGUGUGGGGGGGUGGUCACGAGGGCGACGAGCUGUGUGUGGGAGCGGGAAAGGUAAAAAGUCGGAGGCGCCUUGGCGAGCUGCCGCGCGGCGCUGGCCACACCCGCCGCGGCCGCCCGGGGCAGGCUCGCGUCCCCCCGCGGGACCCCCGCGCCAUCCUCGGGGCGCGCUCCGGGUGCGCGGUGGGGGCACGGCCCCGCGCGGCGUGGACCCGCGGCGCCGCCCGGGAGGCUACCUGGGCCGCCGGCCCCCGCGUGGCCCGGGGCGCCGAGUUCCGCUCGCGGGCGCGCCGGGCAGGAAAGCGGGGUGAGGAGGAGCCGCCCCGCGCCGGCCUCACUUCCUCAGGGGCGCCGGGCCGUCACCUGCCGUCCCCUCGCACUCGCCGUGGGCGGCAGCCGCGGGCCGUGGCCGCCCGGCGGGGCCUCGCCGCCGCUGCGCGAGUUCGGGGGUCCCCGAAAGACCCUGGGCACGCGACGCCCCGCCGGGAGGCACCUCCGGCACCCGGGAUUCGGAGUUGGCUGACUCUUCCUGCCGCCUGCAGCCGCGCCGGCUUUGUGCGGACCGCGAGGGAGGAGUCGCGCGACCGUGUUAGAAGUAGCGUCCAGCCAGCGUUGUGCUGGGUCGCGUAGUAGGUGUUCAGUUAGUUUGUGCCUAGAAUUUGUUGGCCAUGCCCACGACAGGAAUUUUUUUUUAAAUUUUUUUGUUAUGUGAAAAUUAUCUCUUCAGCACCCUCCAGAAUUUUAGAAGAUUUCAUGAAUCACUUCUUUAAACCUUGCAGCAGAAAUACCCUUAGAGCCAAAGCCUGGUGGCUUAGAAUGAGAAAGUUUAAUCCUGAAUACAGAUGAGAACUUUCUCUCCCACGUAAAUGCGUUAUUUCUUGGUGCGUGCACACGGACUGUAAGUAAUUCCCUGCUAUGCAUUAUAUCUGUGUAGCUAGGUAGAGCCAUCAAUGUCAAAGCCGGAGCCCUUAUCCUUACGGUUUUAGGGACAGGCAGUCCUCACUGUCCUCGACACCAUGUCAGCUGGAAGUGUCCCCUCUGCGCCUGGAUCAGUGAUAACCACCCCCCCACACACGCCCCUCUUUAAGACCUAUGUAGUGUUCUAACGUUGCCUUCCGAAUCAUGUCACAGACUCCUUUUGCCAAUAUUUGCCCACUCCCCUCCCCCAACUUUUUUUUUUUUACAUUCACCUUGAUUCCUAGCCAGAAAAUCAAAAGAUAUUUUAUAACUAGCACAUGCUUUACCGACCCUUAAAUUUCUUACACGUGCCGUUUUCUCUUUCUGGCCUGUGCCUCCCCAAGCAAAUUUCUUUCUGUGGUCAUCUUCACCUUGAAAUCAUGGACAAAGUGAGGAGACAAACUGAGUAGAAGUCAUUGUCUUUUUUACUUUAGUGAUUACUGGUUUAGUUAGUUUGGGCCAGACUUUAUUUAACUGCACGGUACCUGUCCAAAGUUUUCAGUAAGUUUUUUUCUUGUUUACUUCUAUGUCCUUAGCACCUAGUAGAGUACCUUGCCACGUGGUAGAUGCCUUAUAGUUCAUAAAUUUCUGUUCUGAACCUGUUCUUGGCAAUAAAAUGAUUAAUGUACCUUUAUCACAUGAGUUCUUCAGAACAGUUGGGAUCGUGAAUGUGUCAUUCAUAUCCAGUCUAAUUGCUCUUGAUUUUAGUUUCUCCAUAAUCAUUUUCCCCAAACGAUUAAGUCUAUAUACUAUUUUAUAUAUUUAUUUGAAAGGCAGGGUUACAUAGAGAUGGAGAGACAGAUCUAUGCUCCAUCCACUGGUUCACUCCCCACAUGGCCACAACGUCUGAGGCUGGGCCAGGUUGAAGCCAGGAGCUUCAUGCUGGGAUCGCAUGUGGUUGCAGGGCCCUAAAGACUUAGGCUGUCCUCCUCUGCCUCCCCAGGCACACCAGCAGGGAGCUGGACUGGAACUGGACCAACAUUUGUAUGGGAUGUCUGUGUUGCAGGUAAUGACUUAACCUGCUGAUCCACAGUGCCAGCCCCUUACAUAUUUUAGAAAUAAACACACAAAAUGUUGGUUGCCCAAAUCUAAUACCAAACUUUGAUUUUGUAAAAUCCUCUGAUAACUAUACAUAACAAAUUGAGUAUUUGAUUCAUACACUGUAACAUUCUCAAGUGACUGCAGUUUCACCAAGUUCUGCAGUCACUGAGGAAGGAAACAUGACUCCAGGGUGAUGCAGAACCAACAGUUGUCCUCAGGACCUGUGCCAGCUUUUCCAAUAAAGCCUCCCGGGAGGUGACAAAAGGGACAAAUGUUUUCUUCAUACCUCCGUGUGAUUUUAUUACAUAUUGCUCUGCAAAAUUGUUUUUCCUUCUCUGGGGAAUGAGGCUCCUAUUUUUAAUAAGUCAAUGAAAAUGUUAACACAUGGAGCAAUUUUCCAAGAACAUGUCUAAUAUAGAGAGAUGUAAGUGUGAAUACAUGUAGAGAAAAGUGUUUUCAAAAUGUUAAUGAACAUCCAAGAAAUAAAGCUGAUACUAUUCCUUUCUGUAAAAGUCAGAACAGUUAAAAUGGAUUCCUUUCAAACUCUGUCUCUAGAGAAGAUAUAGUUUCUAUUAUUGAUAGUACAAAUGAACAUGGGUAGUAUUUUUUAAUAUGUUGAACUAUAGGUAGAUAAUUUGCAAUCCAGAAAACAGCAUGGGUAUUUUGGAUUUAAGUGAAUUUAAAAUGUUUACUCAUAUCAGGGAUCUGAUAUCCGGUUUCCCCUUUGUGUCUGUGUGUUUUUUUCUUUUGGCAUCUUGAUUUCCUUUAGCAGCUGGCUGGUUCAGUUACAGAGUAUGGCUGUUUCUUUGACCUAUAGUCCUGGCCUUCUGUAAUCCAUAGAUCCCCAGAUGACAAUCACCACCACUGUUCCAUUCUUGCAGAAUAUAUAUUUCAAAUAUUUUCCCUCAAAAACAGACUUCACAUGCUCUGCCAUUGUGUUAAACACACUUGAAUGAUGAGAAAUACCUUAUGGUUGAUUAUGUCCACAACACUUCAGAUCCCGGGUCAGAACCAUCCUUUGUCUUCAUACCUUAUGCUUCUACCUCUCUGCUCUGUCUUUUUAUCUUACUUACAUAAAUAGAUCAAACAUUGUGUCCCUGCCACUGUUUAUUUUUCAGUCAUUCUCUCCCCCUGUCUUUGUCUCAGGUCUGACAUGACCAUGUUUGGAUCAUUUUCUUCUUUUCCUCAAGAUUUUUGAAUCCUUCCAACUAUUCAGAAUGGUUUGCAUCUUCAUUUUACGCUUGGGAUUCUCCCUUCAAGUCUGUCCUCUGCCUCUCCACACUUGGAGGGGCUGGCCUCUGUGGACCGCAUCACCCGCCAUCUGUUGCCCUCUGCUUUCUGUUUGGUUUCCAGCAAUUUGGAGGUAUUGACAAAUGAUCAAAAGAAGGAGAGAUGAGUCAGGAUGUUCAUUCCAUCCUCACUCCUGCUUGCCUUUCGCCACGCUUUCGUUCCUCUACCAAAGUCCUGAGGAGCCUCUCAGGUACUCUGUCCGCUGGUUACAGGUCUUACUAAGUUCUAGACACUGCGUCUUCCUUUGUGCCUCCAGGCCUAGGGCUGGAAGGUUGGACGCUUUAUCAUUAACUCCUUUAAAACCUGCCCAGGCCUCUGUAAAUAGUCUCUUCAUUAAACUCCCUUCAGUUGGCCCUUUGAGUAUGCCAUCUGCUUCCUGCCAGGACACUGAGUAGUAUACACAACGGAUUUUUUAAAAGUAUAUUUUAAUCUUAUUCACCAAAAUUCUAUUUCUGUUCAUUACAGUAUGAAAAUCUGGGAUGUAAAUGUGUCAUUUGUUGAAUAUAUACUAAUGUGUGCAAAAUCUGGCAAACAUGUUGGCAAUUACUGUUGAAGUAUUUUUAAUCUGUAAUUCAAUAUCUGUGGAAUCAAGGAUCCUUCUCUAAUCUAAAAAUCUGCUAGAGGGGUUGGCGCUGUGGUGCAGCAGGAGGUUAACACCCUGGCCUGAAGUGCCAGCAUCCCAUAUUCCGAGACCUGGCUGCUCCACUUCCUAUCCACCUCUCUGCUAUGGCCUGGGAAAGCAGCAGAAGAUGGCCCAAGUCCUUGGGCCCCUGCACCCACAUGGGAGACCUAGAAGAAGCUCCUGGCUUUGGAUUGGCUUAGCUCCGGCUGUUGCGGCCAUCAAGAGAGGGAACCAGCGGAUGGAAGACCUCUUUCUGCCUCUCUUCUUUCUGUGUAACUCUGACUUUCAAAUAAUAAAUAAAUAAAUUAAUAAAAACCUGCCUGAAACGAUCUCCAAUUGAUCUAAAAAUCUAGGUAAGAUUACUUUCGUACUUGAAACAAUGAGUGGGGGUGGGGAGGAAUCACAGUACUAUAGUAUUAAGUUAGAGACAGUUCAUCUUCAGUGUGUCCCUUCCCCUUUUCAUUUACAGAAACAUCCAUUUCUGUCACAGCCCAUUGCAAUGAUGACCUGUUUCCCUUCUUGCACGUGCCUAGGUAUACAGUGCUGCUCAGUUCUGGCCACUGAGAUACAAGUUGAAGUGGGGUGUGCCACAUUGAGGAAGUUCUUCAGAAGGAGGUGAUUCACCAUCCUUGCCCUUCUUCCUGCUGGUUGAAAUCAGAGCUGCUAGCUAGAGCUCUUAAGGAAGGCAGAGCAGUAAGAGCUUGGGUUCCUGACACUGGAAUACCACAGCCAACCCCACACAUCCUACUUGGAAAUCUGGAAUACCACAGCCAACCCCACACAUCCUACUUGGAAAUCUGUUUAUAGAGAGAAACAUUUCGUGUAGUAUUUUCUAUCAUGUGGCAAAGUCCUGUUCAUGUCGGUAUGUAUUAGUUUCCCAUUGACACUGUAAAACAUUACCACAAACUUAGUAUAUUGAAACAACAAAUUACUCAUAAGUCUGGAAGUCAGAUGUCCAAAGUGAGCCUUAUGAGGCUAGCCAUUGAGUUUUUGGAGGAAGGGAAGAAUUUGCUUCUUCAUCUUUUCCGUCUUCUGGAGGCUGCUCCUGUUCCUUGUCUCUCGAGCCUCUUUCUCCACAUCCAGAGCCAGCAGCACCCAGCAGAGUCCUGUGUAUGUCAUCUCCUCAUGGUUCCACGUAGGAGGACCCAUGAGAUUAAAUUGGGCCCACCCAGAUAGUUCAGGACAUCUUGUUUCAAGGUUAGCUGAUUAGCUCAUUUAAUUCCACCUGCGACCUUAAUUCCCUUUUGUCGUAGAACCUAACAUGUUCAGGCUAAGGACGUGGACGUCGUUGUGGGGGUCACUCUAAUGUCUACUAACGCAUGCAUGUUUUGAUCGAGAGGUUUUUCUUAAUUUGUUCAUUUUUAAUUUAUAUGCAAUCCCUGAUCUCAAGAAGCUUGCAGGUUUGUGAAACAGUGUGAAGGCUGUGGUGAGCCUGAGAGCUAGCUAUACCAGCCCAGAGUCAGGGCAGCUUUCCCUGGAGAAGUCAGGGGAAGAAAGAGAAAAAGAAAUAUUAAAGCAGAAAUCAAUGUUUAUGUGAAAACCUCAGGAUGAAAACAUGGUGUCUUCAAAAUGCAAGUCCAACAGAACAGAAUCAUUUAAUUAAAGGUGUGCCAGUUUCAGAUGAGGCUACAGAGGUGGGCAAGCAAGAGCCAGGUUUUCUGAAGACACAAGAUUGGGGAUGUUCCAUGUAGAGCAACUGGAAGCCAUGUUAUACAGAUUACACAGGUUAACUUUUCUUUCCCGUGAGGGGGAAAGGAAGAGUGAGCAGGACAGUAAGCAGUAAGAACACUUUUGAGCUCCACUACCCCCACCACCACCCCCGGGAAUAAUCAAGAAGGAGAAAUAAGGAAAAGCAGUGGGUCAGGCUAUCCAAAUGAACACAUGCAAAGAAUAAUGUUUCCGGGGCCAGCAUUGUGGCAGAGCAGGUGACCACUGCCUGUGCAGCAUCCUGUGUGGUGCUGGUUCAUGUCCCAGAUCCUCUGCUUCCCAUCCAGCUUCCUGCUGAUGGUCUGAGGAAAACAGCAGAUGAUGGCCCUAGUGUUUCAGCCCCUGCCACCCAUGUAGGAGGCCUGGAUGAAGCACCUGGCUUUUGCCUGGACCAGCCCUGGCUGUUGGGACCAUCUGGGGAGUAAGUCAAUGGGUAGAACAUCUCUGCCUGUUUGUAACUCUGACUUUGAAAUAGGUGAAUAAUUAAAAAAAAAAAUAACAUUUCCAAUUUGGAUUAAAUAGUGCCAUAGUGCUGUUAAAAAUUAAGCAAUAUAGGACAGGCAUUUGUCCCACCAGUUAGAACAUUAGUAAGGAUGCCUGCAUCCCACAUUGGAGUGGCUCCUGAUUCCAGCUUCCUGCGAUAAAACUAAGGCAGUUUUCAUGCUUCUUUCAUAAUCUGUAAUUUUAAUAGAGAAUCUGUAAGAAUAGCAAGUGCCACAGGAUAUCUAACUGCGUUGCAAAUAGUGUUAUUUAGGAAAUAGACUUAUUGUGGAAACAGUUCCUUAAAUACAGCACUGAUGAACGCCAGUGCUAUUUCUAGACUGUUCACACUCAUGCUAGACAAAUAAAAUGUUCACUUCAUCUCUUCUUUCUACCCUUUCUUCAAAUCAUUCCACAUCUUCCUGAAAUGAGAUUUUCAAGGAUAGACAUUAUCUUUGUCUUUUAGCUUUGAAAAGAAAGGCAUUGUGUAAAAAUUCAAGUGGAUUAUUCCCUGUGAAGUAGCAAUGAUGGCUCAAGCAAUUUGGUAUCUGUGUCACCUGUGGUAGUUUCUGGCUCCUAGUUUCAACCCAGUUCUGGCUGGCCAUUGUGGGGAUUCAGGGAGUGAAGCAGUAGAAGACUUGUCUUUUUACCUCUCAAACAAACAUACUUUUUGUUUAAACACUAAAGCAAAAGACUACCAAGCAAAGGAGCAUAUGAAGAGUACCUGGGGGCUGAUGGUGUGGCGUAGCAGGUAAAGCCAUUGCCUGGAGUGCCGACAUCCCAUAUGGGCUCCAUUUCAAGUCCCAGCUGCUCCACUUUGAUCCUGUGCUGUGGCGCUCUGUGCUGUGGCCUGGGAAAGCAGAAGAUGGCCCACAUCCUUGGGCCCCUGCACCCAUGUGGGUGAUCCGGAAAAAUUUCCUUGCUCAUGGCUUUGGAUCAACACAGCCCUGACCGUUAUGGCCAUCUGGGAACUGAACCAGUGGAUGGAAGACUUCUGUUUCUCUCUCUCUCUGCCUCUCUGUAACUCUGCCUUUCAAAUGAAUAAAUAAAAAAAAAAAAAAUACUGGAUUCAGUUUCUGGCUCUGGCUCCUUAUUCUGACUUGCUGCCGAUACAAACACUGGGAUGCAGUACUGAUGGCUGAAGUGCUUGUGUCCCUGGCAGCCACGUGGGAUACCUGGACUGUGUGCCUGGCUUUGGCACCAGCUCAGCCUGGGCUGUUUGUUGUGGGCAUUUCGGGAGUGAGCCAGUGAAAGAACACUCUCCCCAUCUGUCUCUGCUUCUCAAAAUUAUAUAUAUAUAUAUAUAUAUAUAUAUAUAAUUUUGUAUAAAUAAUAUUUCCCAUGUUUACAUUAAUGCAGUUGUCACACGAUAUGUAUUUUUGUUGUGGUCUUUCCAGCUCCUAAUACUGCUUUAUUACAUGGUAGUCCAUGAAAAUUGUAUGACAUAAGAAUACAUACAAAAAGGAAUCCCCAAUGUAUCCCUUAAUACUUGUCAUUUCUUUCACUAUUACAUUUGUUACUGUACAGCCCAGCACACAAAAACUAACAUCUUCCCCAUUCAGAUUAUUCUGAAUAUACUUCUUUGAUUACCUUACAUAUUUCCAAGAAAGUAGCUUAGUUUUCUUUCUCUGAAUUUCAGGUCAUCUCAACACCUGUUCAGCUGUAUCAGGAUUCUUAGGAAUUAGACAACCAGCCCCACUAACUAGCAAUCCCCUCACAUACUCCAGAACCCUUGGUACACACUACUGCUAAGGCAGCUAUCACUUAUAUAUUGUUUUUACAUCUGCACUCCCCUUCCCCUGGUCUGAGCUCGUGGUCUGUGCAUUUCUGAUAUGGGAAGUGAUGCCUGUCUAAUGGGAAGUAUACUCAGUCAUUAUGGAAAAGAGGUAAAGUUCCCGCCGUUGCUGAAUCAUCCCAGCACGGAGGCCUUGUGAGGAGCUAAUGGAAGAUUGCAUGGGAAGUGUUUUAUGUGAUACCUGGCCCGUGGUAAACCAUAAAUGAAAAACAGCAGUGGAACAUUCUGAGGCAGAGUCUGGUACGAAGGGAAUAAUCCACUUGAAUUUUUACAGUGCUUUUCUUUUCAAGGCUAAAAGACAAAGAUAACUUUUAUCCCUGAAAAUUUCAUUUCAGGAAGAUGCGGAAUUAUUUUGAAGGAAAGGGUAAAAAGAGAUGAUGGAAACAUUUUAUUUGUUUAGCAGGAGUGUGAAUAUUGUCUGGAAAUAAUAUUGGCUUUCAUCAGUUGUUGUAUUUAAGGAACUGCUUCCAUAUUAAGUCUACUUCCUACCAAUGAAUAAUGCAAUAUUUGCAGUGCAAUUAGAUGUCCUGUGGCACUUGCCAUUCUUACAUAGAUUCUCUACUAAAAUUACAGACUAUGAAAGAAGCAUAAAAACUGCCUUAGUUCUGUUUUUCUUAGUUUGUAUGUGACCAAUUCAAACAGAUGCAAGCAUGAAGAUAGGAAUUUGUAGUGCAGAUGGAAGGUUGGUGUGUUUUCGUAUUUGGUUUUUUUUUUUUUUUUUUUUUUUCUGUAGACCCCUGGAGUAGGAGUGCAGCCCAGUCUCACAAGUGAAGGAUUGGGAACACCUUUAGAAAUUUGGGUAGUGCCUCUCUUUGUCUUGCCUCUGUCUCUGCAUCUCUAUCACUGUCUGCCAGGGAAUAGUGCUGUGUGUGAAGGAAGGAAGAGUUCCAAGGGGAAAGUUCAGUUUGCAUCCACCAAACAAGGUUGUACAGUAUAACCCAGUAAAGCUCCUCUCCACAUUCCUACCCCCAUUUGUGUUACUCGGUACAGACUGUACAGUAUAACCCAGUAAAUAUCUCAUCCAUACUCCUACCCCCAGCUGUGUUACUCGGCACAGAUUGUACAGUAUAUCCCAGUAAAGGUCUUCUCAUCCAUACUCCUACCCCCAACUGUGUUACUCAGUACAGAUUGUACAGUAUAACCCAGUAAAUAUCUCAUCCAUACUCCUACCCCCAGCUGUGUUACUAGGUACAGAUUGUACAGUAUAACCCAGUAAAGGUCUCUCAUCCAUACCCCUACCCCCAGCUGUGUUACUAGGUACAGAUUGUACAGUAUAACCCAGUAAAGGUCUUCUCAUCCACAUUCCUACCCCCAGCUGUGUUACUCGGUACAGAUUGUACAGUAUAACCCAGUAGCGGUCUUCUCAUCCGCAUUCCUACCCCUGUUGUGUUACUUGGUAAUGAUUUUAAUACUUUUUUAUAGCUAUGAAUUAUAAUGACAUUUAGUUUUUGCCAUAUACAUGAGAGCAGCAUAUAGUGUAAUAGUCUGCUGGUUUCACUUAACAUUAUACACAUUUUCCUAUGUAGAUACACAGCCUUUACAUUUGUCCUUUUAUACGUCACCAUAUGUCCCUUAAAUUGAGAUCCUACAUAUUUACUAAACCAGUUUCAUAUUGUUGAACAUGUAUUUAAAUUACUUACCUUUGUUGUUGUUCUACAAAGACUAAGGAGUGUUAUGAUAUACUUUUUGUUUAUUUUUUAUAAUGUCUUAGGGAAAUAUUCUCCAAACUGGAAUUACUUCAGUCAGUGGGAAGGAAAAUGUUUGUGUGUUUUUAAAUAUGUGCCCUCUUACUUUUGAAAAGGAUUGCUCCAGUGUGUAAAUCCACUAGAGGUAUCUGACCAUUUGUCUCACUGCGAUUACACAUUUUUCAGAACUGGUAGCUUAUUCACAAUGACUGGAAACACAUGAAUUUCUCAGUGUUUGAAAAACAGUGCAGGUAUUUGGGGAAACAUUUAAAAGGACUAAUCAAAAACAUAUAACUGUGCAACAAACUCCAUGCGGGAUUAAAUCAGUGAUCAUUCUUACUCUGGAGUGUGAGACCUGGUCAAGCUCUUUCAUGUUAAAGUCACCCUGACACACUUAGAAAAAUGUUUGCUUUCUAAAGGUUUUUGUAAACAACUCCUUUGGUUUUAUGACAAAUUUUGUCACUGAAAUUAUCUACCUAGACUUUGGCCGACAUGUUAACUGUCAGAUGCAAUUUAGUUUAAUCACAUUUUUCUUUCUAGGUUAAUUUGCAAAGUGUUCCUACAGAUCAUAAAGCAUGCCCACAAUGAGCCAAUUAUUCUAUUCCUAAAUUGAUAUUGCUUUAUAUCGUUGCUAUAAAGGUUUAGGUAAUGGGUAGUUUUACCAUGAGUAGCCAUAUUUCGGUUAUAGAUAAAGUCAUUACCAGCUUAAAUCAUAUGUAAAGCAUACAUAUUUGGAAUCAACAUGUCAACAUGUUUGCUGUUAAAGCUAACAAUUUAUAUUAGUCUAAUGUCAAAUAAUUGUGGAGUUUUAUUUGUUUUAUAUUGAAUUGACUGCUAUCAUUAAAUAAGAAAUUUUUCUCUAUACUUGCUCAGCUUGUUUCCUGAACACCCAUUUGAUUUUGUGCUUUUGAUUGGUAAAGUCACCAAUAAAUAUCUAUGUUACUUUUUUAAAAAUAAUGUCAUAAAAACGUGGAAGGUUUUCUGGCAGAUAUUUUCAUUUUCUAAAUGGUAAAAUUUUUGGUAAGUAAAAAUAUGAAUGUGUAAAACAGCAAAUGUUUAUUGUAACAUAGCAGAAAUCGUUAGUAGGUGAAAUUGCUCAGAUAGUAUCUGCUGAAAGAUUUUAAAUGUUUAUUAUAUGAAAAAUAGUUUGAGCUGAUCAAAUAAUAAUUAUAAUUCUUCCCUCUAAUUUCCAGUGUCUAUGGAAGUCAUGGUAAAUCAAGAAAAUGUAAAGCUUGAAUUCUGUUAUAUAUUUUUUCCUUAUUAUCUAGUUUACUUACAUUUUGUUCUGCCCUUGAAAACUUUUUCCAGGCACAAAUCAAACCACUGUGAUCCUUUUUGGAGGCUAAUGUUCAUUGCAGAGCACACCCUCGUUUCACUGAAAUAGCAUGUCACUGUCGCUCCCCUUCCAGAACUGACCUAAAGGCAAUCAACCAGACAAAAACAUUUGAUGCAAAGAAUUUGACAACCCAUUAGCUAGAAAACUAUUCCCUGAAUCGUUCAAAAUCAAUCGAAGCCCUUCCCCCAUGUAUCAAAUUGUUCUGCAGUUCCAUUCAUUGUUGCACUGUUCCUUUAUAUAGCCUUGGAAAACAGAUCAGUGAUGUAGCAACAAAAGACAUCAUGAUAUCACACAGGAAACGGGGACUUGGAAGACGCUUUGGACCUCUUAAUUUCCAGGCCACUUGAUAGCAGAUACAGUUCAUUACACAAGAAAAUUGCUUGAUCUUGGGAAAAGAGGGUGCUGGAGGUGAAGGAAAAUGAGUUAGUCACCAACACAGUUCACCUUGCAAUUCAGUCAUUUAGAUCUAACUGGAGAAUGAUUGCUGCCAUGUUCCAGAUGACAAAUGAGAGCUGCUUUUCCCUCAGAAAGGUGGUGAACCAUGUGUCUCCUGAGCUUAAAUUCUGGGGGGAAAAGGAAGUGAAAACAAAGAUCUUCCCCCUACCCACUCUUCAUCCCUCCCUACCUUCCCUUUAUUUUUCCUGACAAAUCCUGUGUUUGACUUCUAUUUUACUUGAGCAACCAUAAAAUCAUAACCAGGGCUCUGCCAGGGCAAGAUUCCAAAGAAUAAAGGAAGUAUAAAUACUCAGAAAAAAUUAUAAGCAGAAGUAUAUUUUUAUGAGUAUUUUGGUACACGUUUAAUAUUUCUAUUAAUGUUCUCACAAUUUACAGCAUUUUGAAUGAUAUAAUUCUUAUAUACUCCCUCUUCUCUAGGUGGGCAGUUCUGUAAACACUAAAGUUACCCCACUUGGAUGCUUCUUUGGCCAGGAAAGUCCUUUCUCUCUCCACCCUUCAUCCAUUCCCCAUUUGCCCUUUCUUCCUCACGGGUUCCCAUGGUCACUGACCACCCACCAACUUUUUAUCAUAUUUAUUUCAUAAAUGGUUGUUCCAUACAUUUUCUCUCAUGCUAAAUUCUGGCAAUUUUGUGAUAGGAACUGUGACUCCUGUUAUCGUGAUGAGCUUAUCUGAAAAUCCCCAUUUUUAGAAUAGAUAUACAGUAGAUACUCCCACAGAGAGAAGUUUCUGGAAGUGCUUGGAAGUGGAUAGAGAUGGAACUCAUAACCCAAACCUGACCCAGUAGGGAGCACAAAAGUUGAAAAUGUUGCAGCCCUUCCUACAUGAGGUAUCGGGGAUCAACCGUCACACUGCAGUUCCAUUGCAUGGGGGAUCAGUAGAUUGUCUGGGUUCUGUGAGCCAAAGAAGAAAGACUGGGGAGGCAGGAGUCUUGGACAUGAUUCGGCAAAAUCCAAAGAGAACGUAACAGAAGUUGAUGGAUGACUUUAUCUAAAACAACCUAAGUUCUGGAUUAGAAUUGGGUAGCUCUGGAACAGAAAAGGCUCUAGACUGCACAGGAAUGUGGAGAGACAUGACGAUACAACUUAGAGCUCUGGAGACAGAAAAGGUCCAGAACAUAUCUUCUGGAUUAAGUGUCUCUGCUGCGGAAACGAAGAGCAAGGAGAUAAGAUACCAUUACAUGGCUGGUAGAAUUAAACCACAGCAAAACAAAAAAACUCUUGAAACAAACAAAAAUAAUGUAGUAUAUGGAACCAAGAGGUAAUGACUACAGCAUUUCCUUUAGGUCUAGAGGAAAUUGUACACAAUUAAUUUGUAGAACUCUCAAGGUGUUAUACCCUUCAAUAUGCACAUUUUGUAUUAGAAGAAUUAAGAAGUGGUAGAAAUGGGGGUAGGGAGAGGAGAAGUUCUUUAAGGUAAAACUGUAUGCUAUAGUUGUCCCUGGAAGAUAUUUAAACAGCAGGGUAACCUCUUUCAAAGAAACGUUUCAGAGGACUGUCUCAAGUUAAAAAUGACAACUAUAGAUGGGGCAGGUGUUCGGCCCAGUAGUUAAGUUACUGCUUGGGACGUCCUCAUCCCAUAUCAAGUGCCAGUGUUCAGGCCUUAGCUCUGCUUUCAGUCCCAGCUUCCUGGUAAUGCACACCCCGGAAGGCAGCAGAUGACAGCUCAGGGACUUGGGUCCCUGCCACUCGUUCAGAAGACCUAGACUGCGUUCUGGGCUCAUGGUGUCAACCUGGCUGAGACCCAGCUGUUUCAGACAUUUGGGAGGUGAACCAGUUGAUAGAAGAUCUAUUUCUGUUUCUCGGACUCCUCUGCCUUUCAAAGAAAAAAAAGUAAAUAAAAAUAUAUAAAUGACUGCAUAGUAGGAAGAAAUCUGAGAAGUCUCAAAAAGACAACUUAGCCUUUAGCCUUUAAAAAGGAAAAAAAAAAGGAUAUUUUGUACCACCACUUUAAAAACAGUUUUAGAAGACUCUUCAGAACUAAUGUUGAUUUCUACAAGAAUGAAGGUAGCUCUACACAGAGGCAAACAUACAGUGUUGUGAUUGAGAAUUUUAAAGAGUAAAAUGAAAUAAAAUGCAUAUUAACUGUACAUCUGAGGAAAAUGGUUAUGAAUAGAAGGGGGAACUUGAAAGAAUGUAACUAUAGAUACUGAUAAUAGAAUUUUUUCAGAAAAAAAUGCAUAGAGAAGAAUACCUUUUAUCUGGGUGUUGGGGAACCUGAAUAUUCACAUACAGAAGAAUAAAAUUGGACCAUUUCACACCUUAUACAAACAUCAACUCAAAAUGUAUUAAUGGCUUAAAUAUUAUACCUGAAACUCAAACUACUAGAAGAAAGUGGGGAAAGCUCCUUGGCAUUGGUUUGGCCAAUGAUUUUUUUUGGCUAUGACCCCAGAAGCAUAGACAACAAAAGGAAAAGUAGAUAAAUGAGAUUGCUUCAAACUAAAAGCUUUGCACAGAAAAUGAAAAUCAGCAGAGUGAAGAAGCAAUUUCUGGAAUGAGGAAAUAUUUACAAACCAUAAUACAGUAAUGAGUUAGUACUCAAAAUAUAUAAAUAACAUGACUCAAUAAUAAAACAAUCCAAUUAAAAAUUGGAUGGAGGACCCAAGUAGACAUUUCUCAAAAGAUUACUUACAUAUGGGCAAAAGAUACAUUAAAAAAAAGAUACAACACCACUAAUCACCAGGGAAAUACAAAUUAAAAGCCGUAAUGAGAUAUCACUUCACAACGAUUAGAAUAUUAUUAAAAAGGCAGAAAAUGAAAGUAUUGACAACGAUGUAGAGAAAAAGCAACCAUUGUACACUGUUGGUGAGAAUGUAAGGCAGUAUAGCCAUUAUGGAAAAACAGUAUGGAAGUUCUCAAAAAGUUAAAUAGGAUGCGCUUACGAUCCAGGUAUCCCUCUACUGGAUAUAUACCCAAAGGAAGAUCAGAAUGUUGAAGAGACAUCUGCACCCCCAUUAUCAUUGCAGCACUACUCACAAUAGCCAAGGUAAGGAAACAGCAUAACUGUCCAACAACAGACAAUGGACAAAGAAAGUGUGAUAUAUAUACACAGUGAAAUGCUGGUCAACUUUAGAAAAAAAAAAAAGAACCUGGAGCACAUUUUGUUAAGUGAAAUAAGGCAGCCAUGGAAAGACAAAUAUCAUGCUAUCUCAUUUUUGUGUAGAAUCUAAGAAAGUAGAACUGUUCUCAAACUAGAGGCUGGGGGUGGGGAGUGGAGUGGAGGGAUUGGGAAAAGUUGAUCAAAGGAUAUAAAAUUUCAGAUAUAAGUUCAAGAGACCCAGUGCACAUCGUGGUGACUAGUUCAUACAAUGUAUUGUACACUUGAAAGCUGCUAAGAGUAUAUUUUCAGUAUUCCUAUCACAGAAAAAGAGUUUUUGAAGUAAUGCAUAUGUUAAUUACCUUUAUUUAAGUCACAUAUAUGCAGUCUGUCAAACGUACACAAUUUGAUUUGUCAGCAUGGGAAGUCGCCCAAGUCAUUAACAAAGACCAAAGAACAAAAGAGUUAUAAUGAAGUAGGAAGAUUAUUUAAGGGAUUCAGGGUGGAACUGACUGUUGGUUUCAGGCACAGGACCUACUGUUCUUUCAGCGUGGGGAAGGUCAAUGGGGCAGGUCAUUAAAGAGAAUAUUGCUGGAUCGUUUUCAGAAAACUGUACAGAGCCGUGCACCUAAUUAUAAUAAAACUGAGACCAAACAUUAAGCCAAAGAGGUCAAAACAUGCCAUUUAACCUUCUUAAAGCUACCUUGGAUCCAAGGGAAACUGCCUAAUCUUUUUAAAGAGGAAUACUUAAGAAGAAUUCAUUUGUUCAUUCAUUUGACAGAUAUUUAUCGAUCUGCUUCUGUGUGCCCAGGCACUAUUCUAAGUUCUUGGGAUAUUUUCAAGAAACCAAAUAGACAAAAAUCCCUGCCUGGCAAAACUUUCAUUCUAGUGGGAUGAGACAAAUACUAAACACCAAAUACAAUAAGUAGGUAAAUUACAUAAUAUUGUAGAAGAGGAUUAAGUGCUGUGGAAAAAUAGAGCAGGGUCAGAGGGAUUGCCGAUACACAGAAAUCAUGAUUUUCUCUUGUGAACUGCAGAACAUGAGAAAUUAAAGUGCUUGGUAGCUUGUUCUCAGAAGGACUCACACGAACAUGUCAAGGAGGAUGGCAGGCAGCAGAGCCAGGUACGCAGGGGGUGUCCAGUCAUUGUUGGACUUCUAACUACCCAGUCAUUCAUGUUUGGUUCAAGACAGGUGUCACUACAGAAAGUAAGUCAUAGAAUUUUCAUAACAAGUACAUAGCUUUUCAUGAAUGCUAUAAUAAACAAAAUCUGUGAUGUCUCCCAUUAAUUGGAUCCCUAACACCUGUUCUUUUUAUUUAACUUCCUUUUGUUUUUCAUCUUGCUCAAUAGUACUUCACUACUGUUUUAAAACAAAGUAGUCGAACAUAUGUGCAGUUUUUAGUCAUAAACAUUUACAUUUUUUCCCAUCAGUGUUAAUGAUGACAUAAUUGUAUGUUUAGGGAAAUAGGGAUUGCUUACUUGAGUCCCACUGAUGAAUAUGUUUAGCUCAUUUGUCGGAGCAGAGACUGCAGAGUAUGAAGGAAUUUGCUUCACAUCCCUGAGGAUAGGUUAGGGACCCUUGGGUUAAUGCAUUUUUCUCAGCUCUUUUGUCAAACUACACUACUUGCAGUGAUGGUCCCACUAGAAGUCAUUGUUAAUGACGUUGAAGUUCAGGGUCAGAUAGUUAAUAGGAACUUCUGCCUCCUUUUCUCAACCCUUGAAAGAUUACUACAAUUAGGAAAUCUAAAGUCUUAUUAUUAAAAGACAACAGGAGGCCAGUGCCACGGCUCACUAGGCUAAUCCUCUGCCUUGCGACGCUGGCACGCCGGAUUCUGUCCUGGUUGCCCCUCUUCCAGGCCAGCUCUCUGCUGUGGCCAGGGAGUGCAGUGGAGGAUGGCCCAAGUACUUGGGCCCUGCACCCCAUGGGAGACCAGGAGAAGUACCUGGCUCCUGCCAUCGGAUCAGCGCAGUGCGCCGGCCGCAGCGCGCUGGCCGUGGUGGCCAUUGGAGGGUGAACCAACGGCAAAGGAAGACCUUUCUCUCUGUCUCUCUCUCUCACUGUCCACUCUGCCUGUCAAAAAAAAAAAGACAACAGGAAUAGUUUAGCUUUACUAGUCAAACUAUCACUUAAUCCUCAGGGUCACGUUAUGGUGUCAGGAAGAUGCCUGAGACCAGAGAGACGUUCCUCUACAGAAGUCACUCAUCUGGUAGGGUUAGAGAUGGAGGGGACAGUGGAUUGGGCUGAGUUGAAUACUACACUGUUUUCAGCAGGCAGACGUCUGAGUUAUUUCUUACUAUUUCUGUGACUUGGUUUUGCAGUGGAAACUGGAAACGUCUUUAAUAGGGCUGCCCAAGUGGAGAUGCCGUACUGUGUAGUCUGGUACCCCCAUUCCUAACUGACCAUCUUUCCUCUUGCCCUUCCACGCCUGUUCUCUGCCCCAGCCAGCAGCCCUUCACACCUCAUCCUUCCUUUCCUUUGCAUCCAGGCGAGGGCCAGGGGACCGAGCUGUUGGGAUCUCUAAUAAGGGAGGCAACCGGCCAGCGCCGCGGCUCACUAGGCUAAUCCUCCGCCUAGCGGCGCCGGCACACCGGGUUCUAGUCCCGGUCAGGGCGCCGGUUUCUGUCCCGGUUGCCCCUCUUCCAGGCCAGCCCUCUGCUGUGGCCAGGGAGUGCAGUGGAGGAUGGCCCAGGUGUUUGGGCCCUGCACCCCAUGGGAGACCAGGAAAAGCACCUGGCUCCUGGCUCCUGCCAUCGGAUCAGCGCGGUGCGCCGGCCGCGGCGGCCAUUGGAGGGUGAACCAACGGCAAAAGGAAGACCUUUCUCUCUGUCUCUCUCUCUCUCACUGUCCACUCUGCCUGUCAAAAAUAAAAAAAAAUAAAAUAAAAUAAAAAAAAAAUAAAAAAAAAAAAGAAAAAAGAAGAAAAAAAUAAGGGAGGCAACCAAGUGCAGGAGAAUUUCAGUUGGCAUAUUUUUAAUAUUAUGCUCACACAAACUGUACAUUUUUAAAGCAAUGAAACAUCUCAUAAAACAGUUCUAAAAACCAUGUUUUUAAUGUUAAAAACUCAAUUUAGAUAUUGUAAAAAUUGAUAUUUCAGAACCAGUUUUUUUAUUACUUUGUAAUUUAUGAAUCAAGCCAAAAAUUUUAGAAUUCAGAUUUAUAAAGUAUUCCAGUCGCCAUAUUUGUUACUACAAAUGUGGACUUGCUGUAAACUGAUGCCCUUUCAACUUGCAAAAGAAUGACCUGUUGUAUUUUACUUUACAAUACAGUGACAAAAAAUUACUCUAUUUGCAAUCUAAGGAGUUUCUUGCUGUUCACAAGUUUUUGAACUUUGCUUUUGCACUCCACUAGGAGACUGGUGAACAAGCUUAAUUACAUCUCCGUAAGGAGGAGGAAGUCAGCAUUAUCCAACAGGAGUGCCCCACCUCGCUCUCAGAUGAAAAUCCACGUAUCAUUUGUGGAGGGUCUCCAAGCCUUGAAGUAACUCCCCAGAUUUGGACAACACUUUGGACAGGUCCAUUGCACAAGACGAAUUUUGAAGUAGAAAUGAUAACACAGAUUUGCUUGAAUGGAAAAGGCUUUUGUUGCCUUUGUCACCAUGAGGAACAUCUUCAGGCUUGACAAAUGUUGAAAACAGACACUGACGGGGGGUAGGGGUGGGAGGGGUCGUUCUUGUGGCCCUGAGCAUAUCAGGUGUCUUCAAGAAGUUUGUGGAAAAUAUUUUGGGGAGGAGAAACUGCAUGGAUUUCAAACUUUUUUGCACCAAAAUAAACUUAUCUUUGAAUUCCAUUUUUUCCAUAAACUCUCUGAAGUACCCUUGUGUGUGGUAGUAGAAAGGGAACAACCCAAUAAUUUAAGGUGCUGAGACUAUGGGAAUACAAGAAACAAGAGAGAUGUACCACAAGUUUAAAUGCUGCUCCUCUGUUUCCUUAGCCAACCUCAUUCCUGUCACCUUGAAAACAUAGCUCCUCAGGACUGCCAUUGUGAUUUCUAGCCAAGAAUUUUCUAGAAGCCAAAGGAUCAGGCUGAAAGGAAGUCUCUCUGUCCUUUCUGUGGUGUUUUCUAAUCCUUCUCAUCUGUCAGGGUUUCCUUGAAUGAGAAUGGGCUGGUCAGGUCCACCAGGUUAAGUAACUAGAGGGGGCCGGCGCCGCGGCUCACUAGGCUAAUCCUCCGCCUUGUGGCGCCGGCACACCAGGUUCUAGUCCCGGUUUGGGCGCCGGAUUCUGUCCCGGUUGCCCCUCUUCCAGGCCAGCUCUCUGCUGUGGCCCGGGAGUGCAGUGGAGGAUGGCCCAAGUGCUUGGGCCCUGCACCCGCAUGGGAGACCAGGAGAAGCACCUGGCUCCUGCCUUCGGAUCAGCGCGGUGCGCCGGCCGCGGCAGCCAUUGGAGGGUGAACCAACGGCAAAGGAAGACCUUUCUCUCUGCUCUCUGUCUCUCUCUCACUGUCCACUCUGCCUGUC